GGAGAGAUGGCCGAGGGGUUUAAGGCGAUAGUCUUGAAAACUAUUAUAGGGUAAACUCUAUCGAGGGUUCAAAUCCCUCUCUCUCCGC
rnacentral:tRNA from 1 species